CGAAAUCGUAGUGUUUGCAGAUUGCUUUCUCCCAUCUCAGUGCCAAGAUCUUAGGGACUUUAGAAAGAAUCUCAGUGAGCUCAGAGCUUGAAGCUCCUCUGGACUGAAGAAACUGAAGCUUGGGACCAAUAGAUUUCUCAGCAUCUAAUAUGAGCAAUCCUGGGAAAGCCCUAAUGAUGCUAGAGAUUUGAGGACCUGUGAACCCAUGACUCCUAAGAAGGCUCAAUACAGAAUCUGGAUCUCCCUUUCCCUCGGACCAGACUUUCCUCGAGAUCGAUUCUGCGAGUUUCGUAGUGAACCCCAGUGACUCAACGAGGUAAGAGACUGUAAAGUUGCUCCCUUUUCGACCAUCUUGAGGAGCGCUUACAUCAGCAGCACUAGAGGAGAAGAAGGAACUGGAAAAAGCAGAGAAUACAUUUUGCACUGAACCUCUCAGAUUAGGCCAUUUCUGUAACACGAGAGAUCUUCUUCCAUAGAGUAUCGAAGAAUACAUUAGAGGAAAUGCGAUUUAGAAAAAGAAGAACACAAGCAACAGCGUCGAUAUGUUUCAGGCGAUCUAACCGGGUCAAAUUCGAGAAAACGACAUGAUAAAGUUUCGAACUUUCUCCGAACUUACUAAUGUUCCGAGGAAAGAUCGAUAUAUGUUCCAGUUUUCGAGAAUUCGGCUCUCCAUUUCUUCUCUCGCUAAACCCAAAAUCGUCAAAACUCAAAACCACAAUUUUGGGUGAGGAGAAAAGGAAUUAACAAAUAAGGAAACUAGGGUUUAUGAGAAAUUUGGCUCGGUUGACUAUCUGUUUUCGUACAAAAUUAAAAAUUAUUCAGCUGCCGGGCUUGGAACCCGGAUAUUCUUUUUUUUUUUUUUUUUUUUUCCACUACCCACUAUUACAUCACAAUUGGCCAAUUUAAAGGUUGAUUCGAAAAACUUCCCGUCAUUGGCUCGUUAUGAAUGAUUUGGAAAAAGAUAAUGCCUUUCGCUCGAGCUCCUUUUGCUAGAGUAUCCGCUCGAGUAUUCAAAAUUCUAGGAAUGUGGGAGAGAGUGAAGAUCCCGAAGUUUCCUCGGAGGUUUUGGAAGACUUCUAACUCUGAUAAGAAGGAUGGCCAGUCCGAUGGCGAUUCUGUCAUACUUAUCAAGUCCAAACAGUCGGACUGAAAAUGCACAUAUAAGACCCCUCUAUCUAUCAGACAUGACAUAGCCCACAGGAGGCUUUCCAGCUCGGCGUGAAGAGCUGAGAGACUUCGACGGCAGCCUUGAAGUCCAAAGACUUCACCACUCUCUUCCUCCUUUAGGCUCCAUCCAAGACCACUAACCAGACUAUUACCUAUCCAGGAUGCAUCCACCUGGCAAGUUGGGAACCGCUGGUCAUCUAGAGGAGAGGUCCGGAGCGAAGGACUGGGGGAAGGCGAUAAUGCAGCCUCUUCAACGUCUUUCGGCUCGUUUGCAGUCUUCCAGCUUUCCGCUUCAAUCUUGGCGUGGAUCAAAGUGUCUACGGGGGAGGUUUCUUUCCCGUCAAAGAUCUUGUCAUUCCUCGCUUUCCAAAUAUACCACAGAAUCCAAGGAUAAAAAUCCUUUUGUGGAUCUAUCAUGCAUAACUCUUUUGUAUUCCAAAAGAGGAAACUCAUAUUUUGAUAAAUAGAAGUGCUCGGGAAGAGACCCGGAAGGGACGGAAAGUCCGAUAACGCCCAGACUUGUAAGCCCGGGGGACAUAAAAACAGGAGGUGGUUAAUAGAUUCUUCAGGGUUCCCACAGCGGGGGCACUGUUUAUCCGAUCCCAUAUGCCUAUAGGUCAAAUUUUGACAAGUAGCAAUACAACCUGAUAAGGCUUGCCACAUCAUAUGCUUCAUCUUUCCAGGUGCCCGAAUCUUCCAAAGGAAGCUAAGAAGGGCUUUGAUACUUGGUUCUGCGACGAUAUUCAAAUUUUGAGCCAACUUCGUUCUCCUAAUCAACUCAUAACCUGAUUUGACCGAGUAUAUCCCCGAUUUAGUAUGGUUCCACGCAUAUCCAUCAAGGGUCCGGUUCCGGCUAGGUCUCAGCCCAAGGAUAAGGGAGACAUCCUCAGGUUGGAAUAGAAGACGGAGGAGAGGUUCAUCCCAUUGCUUUGUAUCUUAAUCGAUAAGAUGGUAAACUAACAUUCCUGGUUCCUGAAAACCGAUCUGAGGGGCAGCUCUUGGGGGUCGAGCUCUUUCAUCGGGGAUCCACGGCUCACUCCAGGCUCUUGUGUUAAGUCCUGAUCCAAUUGUCUUCCUGAUUCCCAUUUGGAGAUACGGCUUGGCCGCCAUCAUACUCCUCCAUCCAUAAGAUGGUGAGUAGAUUUUUCGGUCCUCUAGUGGAUCCGAUUGUCGGUAAUAUCGUCCUCUUAGCACACGUGCCAGAAGUGAAGACGGGUAUUGGAUGAGUCUCCAUAGCUGCUUAGCAAGCAGUGCUAGGUUAAAAUCUUUUAGAUCCCUAAAUCCCAGUCCUCCCAUAUCCUGGGGGAUACAAAUCUUAUCCCAAGCAAUCCAAUGGAUACCACAACUAUUUUGUUUCGAGCUCCACCAAAAGUUAGCUAUGGCACUACUCAGUUUGUCUGUCACCCCUUUGGGAAGAAGGAACCCGGAUAUUCAAUGACUUGAAAUUAACCUUUGUGCUACAGCAGAUUUAUUUGCUAGAUACUGUACAAAUUUAUUUAUUUGCAUAGACCUUUAAAUGGGCCUUCAAAACUCUUUACAACCCUUUAAUUUAUGGAUGAUUUGCACCAAUAUUACUUCUGCGAGCGCAAAUUAGGCGAAGGACAGAGCUUUGCAGUCAAUUAAGUUGGUAACAGAAGUAACCAAAAAAGGAGAAGGGAAAUUACAGUAUACCCCUUGCUCCCUAAAAGUAGACAACACUUUUUCUGAGCGGGACAGGGACCACACGAGCUUGCCAAUUCGCAGACGCUACCUUCCCUUUUUAACACUAACAACGUUAACUUUAUCCCCAAAAUAAGUUGUCGUUUAGUAAGAGUUGUACGGAUAGGUUUAGGGAGGGGACCCUCAGGACCAUCAAAUAAAUAGAGAGGAAGAUAACAACUCACAUAAUCCGCCGCUAGUAAACAAUUUACCUAGGGUUUGUCUACUUAUUUGUGAUCGAAAGGUACGACUACUUGUACGCCACUAAUGUGACUACUUUUUAUUUGUAGUUACAUACUUAUUGAACAUUGGUCUUGUUGUUGUAGAUGGCAGGAAGACAAAUGGUGUUGUUGGUGAAAGGAAAAUGGUUCGAACAGAGCAACGGCGUGUGGACUUUCUUAACGGAACGGACUGGGAAUACCAAAGCGGUAUUCCUUAGCGCGAGGAUGACAUUUCGUGAGGUAGUGAAGCUCGUGAAAGAGAAAAUGGAUAUCAAGGAAGAUGUGGGCGUAACUCUGACCUUCCAGUGGCCGUCAUACAUGCUGAUGGACGACGGUCGCGACGCGCCACCGGUUUUGAUGUCUUCCGACGAUAAAGUGGCUCUUUUUGUGGAGAUGAGGGCAGAUAUCGACCAGCUGAACCUGUGCGUCACAACAGAAGGCGAUUCGGAUGAAGGUGUGGCGAUUCCUGAACGAAAUGACUCACCUUUGGUGGUUAACAACCAAACGGAGGAAAAUGUCGCAAACAACAACGGUAUGUAGUACAUAGUAGUCGGUCAGUUAGUAGUCAGGUAGUCCCAAAUGUUAGUCAUAUAUGUCAUAAAAUAGUUCACUAUUAGGUAGGUAACUAUAUUAGGUAAGAUUGUUUACUGGGUAGUGUGUUACUUUUGGCAGAGUCCUCCGAAGGAGAGGGAUGUGAGAAGGUGGACGAGUUGGCUGCUGGCGAGGAGCCGGAGUUUGAGAAGUGUUUCGAGGAAUCCGAUCUGGGUAACAGUGACAACGGGGAAUAUGAUGGGAUGGAGGACCCAGAGGAGGAAAUCAAUCCGGCGAGAAAGGAUCGUGGGAAAGGCAAGGCUAAAAUGCCGGUUUACGAAAAGGGAGAAUGUAGCCGCCAUUCAAGCAGGAACAGUUUCGCGGACGAGACGAUUAAUGGUGUUUUCUCUGAGACAGAAGAGUUUCCGGCGAUGUUUGGAAGAGAUGCUCCACCGGUUGUCGAUGAAGUUUCUGAUGAUGGUAUGUAGUUGACUACUGGUAAAUGUUUAUUAUAGUAGUUAUUUACCAGGAUAGUAGGAUAGUAGUAACGUAUUUGACCUAAAUUUGGUGGGCAGGGAUAGACGGUGCAUUGAGAGACAUGCGCUAUGAAGGUGAUGGUAUUUUUGUUGGCAGAAUCUUCAGAAACAAAGUUGGCUAUUCACGCCAUAAACAGAAAAUUCCACUUUAGGAAACCACGAUCAACACCGAAUUACAUGGAGUUCCUUUGCAUUAAUCCAACAUGUCCAUGGCGGGUAUACGCUUCCAUCAUGGAUGCGACAGGGAACUUCCAAAUUAAGAAGGCCAAGCUGAAACACACAUGUCCUAUUGAAGACCGCCGGAAAUAUCACAAACAGGCCACAACACAAGUGAUUGGUGAGCUCAUUCAAACAAGAUUUGUGGCAGGACAGAAAGGGCCCGGUCCUAUCGAAAUUCAGCGAAUAAUGCUUCAGGAGUUCCAGGUAUUUGGUCUUCGGUAAACUACUAUUUGUAGUUCACUAUCUAGUGAAAGUAAUUGGUUGUAUGAGUUUGUGUAUACUAUUUGAAUGUAGGUCAACAUUUCAUAUUGGAAGGCUUGGAGAUGCAGGGAAUUGGCAUUGGAAAGAGCGUUUGGAUCAGUGUCUGGAAGUUUCGCAUUGCUCCCUUCCUAUUUAGAGAAUCUGCAAAGCUCUAACCCAGGGACAGUUUGCAAAACAGAAUUUGGGGUGGAUAGAAAUGGUUGUCAAAGGUUCAAGUACCUAUUCAUCUUUUUUGCUGCAUCUAUUGCUGGACUACCAUACUUAAGACCAGUGGUGAUAAUUGAUGGUAAGUUGUUGACUACAAAUGAUUGACUACUUCCAUAGUUGACUACUUGAGUAUACCUGUAAUUAUCUAUGUAUAAGUGCAAGGACACAUCUGGUAGGCAGAUAUGGGGGUUGUCUCAUAUGUGUCAGCGCCCAAGAUGAGAACUUUCAGAUCUACCCAAUUGCAUAUGCGGUUGUGGACAGUGAGAAUGAUGCUUCUUAUGAAUGGUUUUUCAAUUGCUUAAAAACAAUCAUUCCCAAUGACCGAGAUGUUAUGUUUGUUUCGGACCGGCACGGCAGCAUAUACUCAGGACUCAGAAAGGUAUAAUCUUAGUCAACUAUUUGCAACCUAGUACUUUUUGAUAGUAGGUAAGUAUAUAUAGUUGGUUAUUUAUGUAUGGCUUGGCUUGUGUUGUUUUAGGUGUACCCAGAUGCAGGCCAUGGUGCUUGCCUUGUGCAUCUCGCAAGAAACAUCACCACGCGUUUUAAGGAAAGCCGGCUGCAAGGAUUGAUGGUUCGAGCUGCUAAAGCUUAUACCGUGUACGAGUUUCAGCAGAUCUUUGCCGAUUUGCAGAACGUGAGUCCAAACUGUGCAAAAUACUUAGUGGAUCUGGGAUUGCCACACUAGACUCGGGCGUACUGUUUCGGCAAGCGGUACAAUGUAAUGACAACAAAUGUGGCCGAGUCCCUUAACAAAGUCUUGAAAGAGUGUUGUGAGUUUCCACUAAUCUCAAUGCUUGAGGCCAUUAGGAUGAGUCUUAUCAGCUGGUUUGUAAGGAGGAAAGCUGCAGCUGCCGCACAACAAUACCCUAUCAAUCCGAAAGUGCGUGACAUGAUGGACGAAAACUUUCACGAUAGCACAGAGCUGAAGGUUAAAAUAGUCCAAUACAAGUGUCUGUUGAUAUUUAACUACCAAUAAUCGUCUACUUAUAAAAAACUAUGUUUACUUGUAGGUGGUUGUUGUCGGAGAGGAUGAGUACGAAGUUUACAACAGACAUGGGGACAGAUUCGAAGUGAACCUUGUUUUGAAGAAAUGCAGCUGCAGGGAGUUUCAGAUGCUUCUCAUCCCGUGCGGACAUGCAAUGGCAGCUAGUUCAUUCAGCACACUUGAGCUUGAGAAGCUCGUUGGAGAGGUGUACAGCACAAGGUACCGGAGAUCCCUUUACGAGGGAGCUUUCCAUCCGGUACCAACUCCUGUAAAUUCUGGAGGCACAGAACUACUUCCACCGUUAAUGCGCCGACCACCAGGUCGUCCAAGGAAAACAAGGAUCCCAUCACGAGGAGAACUGAAGGUAUUUAUUAUUAACAUAAUAUGUAACUACUUGUAAACGAUUAUUGGUUAGUGACUACAGUAGAUAACUGUCUAUUAUUUAUUCUCCACAUUAAACAGAGGCGUUCGAGGAAGGCGGCGAGAAUUUGCAGCAGGUGUCUUGGAAAGGGUCACAACAAAGCGUCAUGCAAGCUUCCGCUGCAUGAAAGGUAAGAAAAAUGGCAGAGAUGAAUGGGAGAUGAGGCAGGGGGAAUCGGGUAUGAUGCACUUCAAAAAUGGAAGUUAGGGGACUACAUUUUAUGUAAAGUCUUAGCUCCUCCUUAUUUGAAGCUUUUUUGCUACUAUGCAUCCUAGAAAUAUGUUAUCUAGAUAUUGCGUUUUGGUUUGUAAUGCCUCAAUUACUUUUGGGUCUCCCCUACAUGUUUUGUUAUGCUUGGAUUUGGUAUCAUAUAAGAUGUUAUUUGGAGUUUGAGUGUUCUUAAAUAUGUUUCAUCUGGUUGUUUUAUCAGUUUAUCUGUAGUAGAAGCUGUCUACCUGUAGUUGAUUACUACUAGGGCACUCAUCGUAGACGUUAAACUUACACUGCGUCGAGUAGUCAAUAUGGGAUAGUUGACGAUGGGUAGUUGUUUAAUCUUUACUAUUUGACACCUUGCGAUUGAUCAACAAGCCGUUAGCUGAAAUGUAAUGUAAAGUUUACUAUAAUGAUUUCAAUGUGGCAAAUAUUGAUAGAUAUUUAUUCGUUAUUCUUGUAGUCUAAAGAGUUUUAUAAGUCAGCAAUGUAUCUUGAAUCUCUUCAGUUAAGAUUCAUUUGGAUAUGGUGUAUGUAGUUUUAUGGGUAACGGUUUAUUUUCUUCCAGACUCGGUACGAUGUGGUAAUGAAGACGACAGCUACAAUGUAAUAAAAAGUCGACUACAAAUAUUUCUUAAUUAGGACAAUUGGAACAACACAACGUUAUAAUAGGUUGACAAACACAAAUUCAUAUAGCGAUAGAUAACAUAAUAGUAUCAUACAACGAGUAGUUCAAAGGGGUUCAAAUCCAUGCAAACUAAAAAAACAGAGUGGGUAAAGGAUCAAUUAGUAGGGUCCUGUGGAAUGACGACGUCGGAAAGAGACGGCGGCUCGAGUAAACAGAGUAGAUCAUAAGCAAACUUCAGAGAUGCAUCCCGUACGAUGUCAUCAGCAACAACAAUGUCUAGAGACAUAUUCGCAGCGUGCAAUUGAAGAGCCAUAAGUGCCAGCACACCGAGAUGACCUGAGUUUAACAUUAAUAAAGGUAAAUGAUUACUAGGUAGUCGAUUAGGACAUAUCUGAUGACCAAGUGUAAGUAGGAAUACCAGAUAUCGAGGUUUGGAAGAUUGGUUUCACAAUUUUUAUUGUGAAUGGCGUGAGAUCGUCGGCUUUCAUCUCUGAAUUGUAAGCGACUCUCCUGAUGAAAUGUGGUAGAGACUGCGCGAGUGGUGCGACGCUUGUCUUGAGUUUCAGCUCUUUUAGGGUUGCAAAGACAUUCAGUACGUAAAUAUCGUGGCUCUCAAAAUCGAUGCAUAGGCCCACCCAGUAUCUGUCGUCGACUUGGUAGGGGCAAUAAAUGCGAGCGACCUGUGUGUACCAUGAGCGCCUCGCUUUCACAUACGCAGCUGAACCAGAUGGGAGUGCGACAAGUUUCUUUUUAGAGGGAUUGGUAAACUGCUGAUGGAGCUGAAUGAUGCCAUGAAGAAACGUGUACUCAACGAAAUCGUAAGUGCAUUAAUCGUCGUUCAGUUCCGACAAUUGAUGACGCAAUAACCUAAUGAUGCUGUCGAUGGACUAUCAUAGACAUGAAACACAAAUUAGUAGUCGUAUACUAAAAAGUGAGAGUAGACAAUUAUUGGGAAGGUGUUUACCACAACUGAAAUCGGGAAUUUUAAGUCCACGAUCUCUUUCAAGAUGUUCACAGAGAGGGUUACGCCAUCCCAUCUUGGCAAAUUCCUAUAAAAAGCGGUAAAUAUUGGGGAAUUUAACACUUACUAUCAACAACAUAAGCAAAGCAACCAAUAAUAUGUCACUCACCGAUUGUCCUUCAUCCUAUUUUGGAGGAGAAUUACUUGUUCAAAUUUGGGUGUUGGAAAGAAGUGAGACAGCUGUAAUGGGUUCACAUUCUUCUUAACACGCUUAGGUUGAGGGACUACAAAGUCGGACAUCUGUGUUGAAGGCACGGGUAGUCGUUUACUCUUACGAGUAGGUAGCUGUGCUUCUUCACCCUUCUUCGAGGUUUGAGCCAUAUUCUUCUCUUCCUGUGUGAGACCAAGAGACCAACCAGGAGGAUCAAUAUCGCCCAACACCUACAUUUUGUGUUUGAAAAAGUUGGUGAUGCACUGCAUAUUCUUAGUUGACUAAUUUAUAAAAAUAGACGACUAUUAAUUCAAACCUGCUCGUGGGAUGAGACUCGAGGGUCGGGCGGGGCAAUAACUUGGUUCUCUUUGACAGCAGCCAAGGCAUCUUCCGGAGUGUCCUGCAAAACAGUAUGUACAUAAAAAGUAGGAGACUUUGUGAGGAAAAUAGUAGGAGACUUUGUGAGGAAAAUAGUAAUUAAUUAGCAUAUCUGUAAAUACCUCCUUAGGGGGGGCAUCUUUGUUGACGUCUGUUUGCUCGGUUGCCACAACAGGUGCUUGUUGACAGUGAGAUUCGACGGAUGCGUGAACAAAGUUUACUUCGUAGGGGUUUGGGGGCUCCUCCAAGAACUCUAGUAUAUAUCGAAACAUCAUAUACUAUACUACUACUCUCUAUUUAGGUAAAGUAGACAACUAGCUAGACGAACCUGAUCUUCUGCUUGGCCGUCGUCUCCCAUUUGCUAUAUUGUGAAGAAAAGUAGGCAAUUAUCGAGAAGUCGACUAUGUUUACAAUAAAUGAAAAGUAAAGACAUACCUGAUCCGUGACUUCCUUGGCAUGGUUAACGGUUGAAUGAACUGGGUUCACACGGCUUGGUUCACUGACUUGAUCAAAUGGCUGGUUCUCGGAAGGAUCUACAUUGACCUGCAAAACAGGCUUUUCUAUCAUAAGUAUAUGACUAUGUUUACGUAUAUAACUAUUAAUAGUUGGCUAUUUACUUGGACAGUUGCGGAUAAAUCAGAAAACACAGAAGCAAUUUGAUCUUUUGCUUGGCCGUCGUCUCCCAUUUGCUAUAUUGUGAGGAAAAGUAGACAAUUAUCGAAAAGUCGACUAUGUUUACAAUAUAUGAAAAGUAUAGACAUACCUGAUCCGUGACUUCCUUGGCAUGGUUAACGGAUGAAUGAACUGGGUUCACACGGCUUGGUUCACUGACUUGAUCAAAUGGCUGGUUCUCGGAAGGAUCUACAUUGACCUGCAAAACAGGUUUAUCUAGCAUAAGUAUAUGACUAUUUUGACGUAUAUAACUAUUACUAGUUGGCUACUUACUUGGACAGUUGCGGAUAAAUCAGAAAGCACUGAAGCAAUUUGAUUUUGCGCGAGUGUUGCAUCAUCUUGGACAUCAUCAGCGCCAAGAUGCGGUUGGCUUUCAUGGUCUCCAGCAUCACGAGAUCCCUCGCAUUCGUCCUCUACACUGUCUUCUUGGGCAGCAACGUCGCCAUCAGUAGAAGAACUGGCCGAUUCCUUGUUUUUGGUUACCUUAUCACUGUCAUCACCUUCAGAUGAAUCUGAUGACUUAGUCUCCUCAGAAGAAGAAAUCUGUUGGAACCUAACAUGCUUUUUGCGAAUUGGAAUUGAUUUAACCCUCUUCUUAGUCUUUGUUUGAGAAGGUGGCUUGACUACCGAUGAAGCCCCUGGUAAAGUCUGGUGUUGUUGCUUAAAAGUGGACAGAGCGGUAGAGACUUCGGUACAGAGAUCACCGAAAUAUGCGCGAAGGCUUUUUAUCUCGGAUUCGAUGACGGAAAUGGCAUCUAGAACCUUAUCAAUAGUCGCAGCCGAAGCAGAAUCGAACUUCCCGUCCGAAGGUGUAUUCCGGGAGGAUGAAGAUGGUGCCUUAGGAUUCUUUAGAUGAACGCCUGCGUUUUCACCACCAAUCCAAGUUUUCCUUGAAAACUUAACCCCGUCGUUGAUUGCGGCGAUCAAGUUGUCAACACUUUUGUCUGGGACAUCAUCAUCCAGGUCCAAGUCGGUAUCAUCCAAAAUAUUCUCGUCGUCCAGCAAAAUUGAUUUCACAGCCACCUGAAAAUUGGAAUAUUAGUAGUAGUCAGUUACUUUCAAAUAUGUCUAUUUGUAGUUGACUAUCAAAUAUGUUAUGUUAGAGCAUGUAUCGUUUUGACAAACUGGACAGUACAUCUUAGAUCAACUACCAGCUUGAAAUAGUUAGAGUAGUCGGUUACUUUGACAACUGUCUAUUUAUAAUUGACUAUCAAGUACGUCAUGGUAUUAUGCAAAAUGUCUAUUUUGACAAACUAUACAGUACUUCUUAGAUCAAUAACAGCUAGAAAUAGUAGGAGUAGUCAGUUACUAUGCAAAAUGUCUAUUUAUAAGUGACUAUCAAUAAGUUUAGUUAGAGCAUGCAAAAUGUCUAUGCAAAAUGUCUAUUUAUAAGUGACUAUCAAUAAGUUUAGUUAGAGUUCUUGUAUGUCUGAUAUACUAGGUUAUAAUGACUAUCUACUAAUAGUAACCGCCUAUAUAUAUAUGAAUAUUAUACUGGGUGUGGUUAUCAUACCUUCUGAGACUUGUCAAGAGACUUGACAUGCGGCAUUGAGAUGUUUACGGGUUUCAUAGAACCAGGACGUAUACUGGGGGUAUCGUCGUCCUCAUCGUCUUCAUCCACCAAAUUAGGUUCGCUUGAUUUUCCUUUCAGAUCCUUCUUGAGAAUAGCGGGAGCACAUUCCAAAAUAACCAUUUGUAAUGCAUGUAUAAACCCCUGAAAUGCACACGUCGGCUGGCAAAGGUAAGAUGUCGUUGCCGUCCUCGUUUUGAUGCUGUGUAUGGUCAAAUCAAAAGAUUUCCGACCCCAUGGAUAUUCCAGGAAUUUAUCAACAUCCUGCAAUAUCAUAAUGUGCUCGGCACUGAUCUUUGCAUUCCUAGAAGUUGGGCAUACAAUCCCAUCGAUAAGAAGUAAGCAAGCUAGCUUAAAUCUAGUCUCUUUGUCCUUGUAUGGUCUGCCAGCAAGUGUUGUUGCAAUCCAUCCAGGAGUCGCAUUCUUCUCUGAACCAAACAACUCAAUAGUCUCGGCAUUGACCUGGUCUUCUUUGAGCUUUUUCGGAGGUGGCAACUUGGAGCAAUCAAGGCCUGUCGUAAUAGCAAACUCCCUAAUAGAAAAAUGGAUUGGCUGGCCAGCGAAUAGACACCAAAGCUCUUUUUUUUUCUUCGUAACUAGCUGCCGAGACAAGAUAAAGUGAAGAAAUCUAACUGAUGAAGCAAUCUUGUUACCUGCUUCCAUCAGUUUUCCAAACUGAGACAAUGAAAGCUUCUCCAUAUGGUCUUCCUCGAGAGCAAAACUGAUUGUGUCAAGAUAGGUUAGCUGAAAGGAGGUGUUCACCUUCUUAUUUUCCGGUUCGUUGCCUAAGGCAAACAUUCUAUCCGGAAACCUGCUCAUAACUUAUCAGCUGAAAAAAAAAAACAAUGAAACAACUAAAAUUAGAAAAAUGUAUUACAUAAACGUCUAUUAGUGUUUGUCUACUAUAUAAAAAUAUUCGGUUACUGGGAGACCGUAUACAAAAUUUGGAUGACCUUAUUGUCCAUGGUUGUAUCUCAACUCCAUAACGAAUUACUGGUAACCGAAAACUUUUUAAUUUCAUGUUCACAUGUAAUUGGAAAAGUGAUUCAACCCCAUAAAAAAUCUAAAAACAUGUAACCCAAGCGGCACCAAACAUAGAUCCCUAAUCCCUAAAAUCCCCAAAAUGGAACAGGGUAAUUAGGCUGACCCUACACAUGCAAUUUGGCGAAUAAACAAAUACUAGGGUAAUUAGAUACUUGUAGACCGUAAACCUUAAAAUAACAGAGCCCAAUUCGAAAAAAAUGUAACCGAAGCGGCACCAAACAUAGAUCUGUACUUCCGAAAAAUCUCCAAAAUAAAAUAGGGUAAUUAGGCUCAUCCUACACAAGCUACCUGGCGAAUAAACGACUACUAGGGUAAUUAGAUACUUGUAGUUCGUAAUAUUGAAUAACAGAGACCAGUUCAAUUGGGAGUUGUGCGACGGAAGGCGGCGACGACGCUGGGAUCUACGAGAAUGGAAAUUGGUCUAUAAGCAAGAGAAAAAAACUAACCACGAAAGAGAUGGGUUCGGAUGGGGAUUGGCACGCGACCGUUGUCGUUACUCGGAGCGGCGGACGGCGCUUCCGGCGCAAACAAAAAAGACGACGAUGUGUGAGCGUCUUUCUAGGUUAAAGAAAAGGGAGUGGGAAUGUGAAAGAGAACAAGGAAGAGAAAGAGGGAAAUGACAGUUGCGAAAAAAAUCGUAGGUGUGAGAGGAGAAAAGAGGCUAUAAAUGUGAGAUUUUAUUGCGGUUUUUUUUUAAAUAAAAAAACGGUUACCUUUCCAUCCCAAGCAGUUUACAUCUCAAUAUAAAGUAAUUAAACUGCUUAAAUACUUACAACUGCUGCAAAUGAUUUCGUUGGUUAUGUUAACAGAGAGGAUACCGUUUUACAACAUGAAAUAGCCAAUUACACUAAAUAUAAAAUCAACUGAUAUAAUUUAGAAAGAGUAUUCAACUACAAAGCAAGCAAUUAUAAAUAGUCGAAGUGACAAACUACAGAUAAAUGUUUGGAUUGUCCAAAACGGAAUACAUCCAACCUAUGGAUCUAAAGAGAAUUUCACAAGGUGGUAGGUUCCGUAGAGGUAGCAGAGUUCACAGUAUCCGCCCUGGUGUUUCAUACGGCAACUGGGGAAAUCAACAGCAAUAUGGGGUAAAGAUGUAUGCGCAUCAGGCACCACCAUUUUGUCGAUCAAAGCCAUAACUUCCUCACCAAUCUGAGUCAUAUGCUCAAUUGUUGCUCUCCAACCAAAAACACGGUCUAAAAUUUCUAUGCCUAUGGGGUAGUGACCUAAUGCGGUUACACAUAUGGCCAUCAUUAAGGUCGCCGUUUGAACUCCAGCUUUAGACGCUUGGUUGAAAAACCUUAGAGAACCUUCGAUAUCAUUAGCCAUAGUGAUUCUGCUCAUACCGUGGAUAUACAUACCAAGUGGAUUACCUGAUGUCACCGCCGCCUCAAAGAAUGAAGGGUAGCUCUGAACUAAACUGGGCCUUCUCACGAAAGCUGUAAGGUUGAGAAACCUCAUCACAGAUGGUUCGUUGAUUGUUUGGCUAAGGAAUUUGCAUGAACAAGCAAAAGAGCAAGCGUCUUUAGUAGAACUCCUACCAACUCUUUUAAAAAUAUCAACGGCUGCAUCGCGAAUCUGAGGAAGAAUAUCAUUUGUCAGUGGUACCAGAUCGGGAUGUACUUGGGACAACGCAGACCUUCAAAAACAAAAGCAAGGAAUAUUAAGCUACCCAGUAUAUGGUUACCUAUAACUAGCAAGAAUAGUAAGCUACUCAGUAUAUGGUCACCAGUAAACACUUAUUUACUACUUAAAAUGUAAAUGACAUACUUAGUGGUUAAUUAUUCAGAUCUGAAAACGCAGAUCUGGAUGACGGAUGAGAAUGGUAGUGGAAAGCGUUUGAAAAAAAAAAAACAAAAACUGUGAAUCAGGACAAGUGGCCUACGGAACCAAACGUUUAUGAACCCAAAAAUAUGAAGAAUAACGACAGAUCUAACUUCGAAAAAUUAAGAAAUCUAGCUCCUGGAAAUUAACGACGACAUAUACCGGUAUCUGCGAGUAAAGUCAUAUAACAUUCAACAGACGACACCAAAACAGAGCUUAACAGUUUACCUUUCAAGCUUCGCUGCGGAAAAAAAAGACGGUGGUUCGCAAGAUCGGUCCAUCGUUGCCGGAGUUUCAGAGAAGUAAGUGACUCGCCGUAUCAAACUCCGGUUUAUCAUGUCGGAGUCAGCGAAGUAAAAUGGAGAACCACAGAAAUUAUAGAAGAGAGGAUUUGAGUGAGGUAGUAGUGUUUUGAAAUUCAGACUGAAUUUCAAGGACCGAAGUUUGACUAUAAAGACCCGAUGGAAAAUUUUGAAUUAAAGCUGAUAAAAGAGAAAGAUGUCAGACAUAAAACACGUAUACGUUAUUGUUAUAAAGAUAUGCUGGAGUAGAAUGUAACUGAGGGGGUUUUGGGUACUUUCCACCCCAUAAAAAAAUUAGUUCAUCGACACCUAAUUAGCUCUUGUUGUUACGCUACGACACCAAAUUUCCCUUAAUUUCUUUAUUUCUUCAUCCAAAACUUUUUUAAAAUAAAUUCUUUCCAUUGCAUUUUGCAUUCAAGCCUAAACAAUGACAAAUUACAACCACAGCAUUACAUUCACAAAAUAAAUUCUUUCCAUUGCAUUUUGCAUUCAAGCCUAAACAAUGACAAAUUCCAACCACAGCAUUACAUUCACUUGCAGACUAGUUAUGAAUCUCAAUUUUACAUGAUUCUCUGCGUGGAACACAAAUCAUGAGAUGCAUUUUUUUUUCUUCAAAUUUUGCGGCUAGAGAGUUGUUUGGCCGGUGGAGAAAAUUGAUAGAAUUAUUUGCAUAUCCCCUAAAAUAUAUGGUAAGUGCAUGAAGUGUAUAAUUCCUCGUAAAAGUAAAAAGUAAUGUGCUUGUGGUUGAGCAUCUUACUUUAGUGGAAUUCUCUGUUUUCUUUUUUUUUGAAGAAGGAAUUCUCUGUUUUCAUUCAUUAAAUAAAAUCAAAAGACGUGAAUAAAAGAUAAUGAUAUGAACAAAACCUUAUUUAUUUCCGUAGGGAACUCAAAAAUCAAACUCUACUCAAUUAGACGAACAUCUCACCAAUGCUGAAACAGCCAGUUACAAAAUGUAUGAAUGUGAUCCAAAUUAAAAAGGCUUUGCCUUUGCCUUGUGUGCUCUCUUCAUUAUACAAUAUACACACAGGGUCUUUUGCAAACAGAAGGUCUUCUAUGAUGUCUUUGACAAAACCAUAAUGGAGGCAGAUAGAUUUGUCCCUUUUCUUUCCAAAGAUUUCCGAAACUUUAGAAAGAAACUCAGUGAGGUCAUAGCUAGAUGCUCCAAAUUUAGGGAACUCAAAUUUCAUUCACUUGCGGAACUCAACAAAAUCGCAAGGAUACAAGUAUGUGGAGAAGAACAUACUUGUGUUCUUACAAAAAAUACUGUGUUCGAGCGCAGAUAUUGAUAAAGAAAAGCAAAAUCCUAGACAAGCCUUGUGAUCUAUGAAACAAGACCGCUGGUGAAGAUAGCCAUAAGCUCAGGAACCAGCUUUUUGUCAUCAUAUUUCUUCACAUCCUUCUUUAAGAAGGCUUCAUCGGUGAUUGACAACACAGACGACAAUGGAGGGAGCUCACUUCCCAAGAAUCCUUUAGACAUGAGAGUUUUGACUACGUUACACCUUGGAGCAGUCCUCUUCUCAAAGUUGUAUGCAAUUACCUGAGGGUUUGCCACCACAACCUCUAGUGGCCAAUUCAUCUUCUUCACAAGAAAUUCAGUCUUCUUCUUCACCGUCUCUGCAGAUAAUCCAAGCAACUGAGGAAAGCGCUUCACAAUCAAAGCAGACUCAUCUCUGCUGAAUCCUAGGCCUAGAAAUGUUUCAACCGAGUUCAGUAUCUUUUGCUCCGAGUAUGACAGAAUGUUUGGCCAUUUCUUGAACAUUGCCCAGACAUCUUCCACAUCAAAGCCUAACCUUUUAUAGACGUUUACUUUUUCUUCUAUUGCUUCAUCGCUCAUUUGGUAAACAGCGUUCAGUGCCUCGACAAACUCGGAUCAAAGCCCAUGUCAACAAUCUUCUUGAGGGAUUCUUCAAAUCUAUCUUUCCCACAGCAAGCAUGGUGAUAGGAGAUGAGCAUAGAGAACAGCAGCUUCUGAGGCAUGCCCAAUUCCCUCAAAGCCAAUAUAUUUCGAAGCUUAUUCUCCUGCUUACUACCCUGUGGCAAAGAAUGAGAUAACUUUUUGAACUUGGAAUUAUCCGCUUCUACAAUCUCUUUGAUGAAAUCAUAGUAUACGCAGAAAGCUUUCUCCUUUUUGAUACCCAAGAUCUUAGGGACUUUAGAAACAAUCUCAGUAAGCUCAGAGGUUAAAACUGCAAAAACUGAAGCUUGGGACAGAGGGAUUUCUCAGCAUCUAACAUAAGCAACCGUGGAUAACUACUAACGAUGCUGGAGAUUUGAGAUUCCGUGAAACCAUAACUUUUAAGAAGACUCAAAACAGAACCCGGAUUACCCUUGCCCAGUGACUCAACGAGGUAGGAGACAGUGAAAGUCUUCUCUUUUCGAUCAUCUCUAGGUCUCACAGUUUCUGCAACACUACCAGAGGAGAACGGAUUGGAAAAAGCAGAGGAUACAUUUUGCAACGAACCUCUCAAAUGACGCCAUUUCUGUAAGUCGAGAGACCUUCUUCCAUGGAGUAUCAUCGAAGAAUGAAAUGCGAUUAAGAGAAAUAAAAACUCAAAAACACAAGCAGCAGCGUCGAUACGAUUCAGGUGAUCUAACCCGGAUCAAAUUCGAGAAAACGACAUGAUAAAGUUUCAAACUUUCUCUGAACUUACUAAUGUUCCGAGGAAAAGAUCGAUGACUCUCGCGAAACCCAAAAUCGCAAAUGUCACAAUUUGGGUGAGGACUGAGGUCUGAGGAGAACAAAAAACGGAUAAACCCUAAGAAAAAAAAACGGAAACUAGGGAUUAUGAGCAAUAUGUGCUUUGUGGCUGAACGAGCAUUUUACGUUUAGGUGUAAAUGUAUAAAAACAGACGUCUUAAGCCCCAAAAUUCUAAAUCAAUGCCGAUGUACUAAACUCAGUAUUUGAACAUACUGUUUUCAAUCUAAAGAUGACUCUAGCAGUAAGACUAAGAAAAUUGAAAACAACUCGUUUCUUACAAUCCAUCAACACCAAGAGAGGUUCUCGCAUGAGGUUUUUCGAUGUUUUGAUAUAGGUAAUUUUAUGUAUUCAAAUUAGCCGUCCCCAAACAAUACAUUUUUAUUCCAAACAAAACUUCUUCAUACAAAAACAAAAGUGUCAACUUUUUGGGGACCAACAGAGCAAUGAAACAUACAAGAAGCCCCUGCUUUUCCCAAACAAAAUCUGAACAUAAUGAUUCUCCAUGUUUUGUACAUAUGAAGAAACAUCCAAUCUAAUCAAUCAAGAUUUAGAGAGUGUUUUUCAUUAAAGGCCUUAAAUUCAAAAACCAUGUAAGAACCUCUGUUACUUUGCAUUAUUACCAUAUCUCCACAUUUUUACGUAACUACCUCAGAAAGAUUCAAAGUUACAACUUCAAGUCAUUUUCCUAGUCAGUUUGCAAAUAAAAAACGGUCACAUCCGGAGAUCAAACUGAGAUCACAAAAGCUUAGAAUCAUAAUCUAAAUCUCUGAUAUUGCCUCCACUGCCGGAAUCUAAAACUAAAAGGGAAAAAAAUACCAACUUUGACAAGCCUACUAUGCUAUGAGACACGAUGUUCGAUGAAGAUAGCCAUCAACUCAAGCACCAGCUGAUCAUCAUGCUUCACCACACACCUGUUUGAUAAGAGAGCUUUGAUGAUUACGUUACACCUUGGUACAGACUUAGAUAAGGGAGCUUUGAAUUCAUAGAUAUUGGCAAGCCUUAUGAUCUAUGAAGCAGGAUCUUUGGGUGAAGAUGGCCAUCAACUCACGCACCAGCUCAUUUUCAUUGUGCUUCAUCACGUACUUGUUUAAGAAAGCAUGAUCGGUACAUGCCAAGACACACGGCAUAGAAGGGAGUUCACUUCCAAGCAAUCCUUUGGACAAGAGAGCUUUGAUUACGUUACACCUUGGGACAAUCCUCUUCUCCAUGCUGUAUCCAAAUACCGGAGGAAACAAAACCAGAGCCUUUAGUGGCCAAUUCAUCUUCUUCACAAGAAACUCAGUCUUCUUCUCCACCGACUCAGCAGAUAAUCCAAGUAACUGAGGAAAGCGCUUGCACAUCAUAGCAGACUCAUCUCUGGUGAACCCAAGGCCUAGUAAUGUUUCAAUGGAGUCCACUAUCUUUUGCUCCGAGUAAAUCAGAAACUUCGGCCACUUCUUAAACAUUGCCCAUACGUCUUCGACAUCAAAGCCAAAACUUUUAUAGACGUUUACCUUUUCUUCAAUCGUUUUGUCGCUCAUUUGGUAAACAGCGUGUAGAGCAUCGACAAACUUUAAGGUUGUCGGAUCAAUGCCCAUGUCAACAACCUUCUUGACGGAUUCUUCAAAUCUUUCUUUUCCAGUUACAGAACCGAAAUUAGAGAUGAGCAUAGAGAAUAACAGCUUCUGAGGCACACCCAAUUCCCUCAACGCCAAUACAUUUCUGAGUUUGUUCUCCUGCUGACUACCCUCUGGCGAAGAAUGACACAACUUUACGUACUUGGAGCUCUUAUCGGCUUCUAUGACCUCUUUGAUGAAAUCAUAGUAUACGCUGAAAGCUUUGUCUUUUUUGAUACCCAAGAUCUUUGGAACUUUAGAAAAAAUCUCAGUGAGCUCAGAGCUUGAAGCUCCUCUGGACUGAAGAAACUGAAGCUUGGGACCAAUACAUUUCUCAGCAUCUAAUAUGAGCAAUCCUGGGAAAGCGCUAACGAUGCUGGAGAUUUGAGGACCUGUGAACCCAUGACUCCUAAGAAGGCUCAAAACAG
rnacentral:lncRNA from 1 species